GUUUACGCUGCUGCACUGUUUGUCUCAGCGGGCUUUCUGUAGUUCAGACUGUCAGCGUUCGUCAAGUUGACAAGUUCUGGAGACAAGUUGUUGUCUCCACUCAUGGCCAUUUUCUUCCUGCUGUACUUCGAAAGGACAUACUCUGUUUUCCAUUCAUCUGAGUUUUCCUUGGAGGUGAAAAGACAACGUGCCACAGGUGUCGGUGUAUUGUGGAAUAUAGACGUUUGAAGAGCAGAGCGGCAGGCCGUGACACCGCCGCAGUGGGUAUCUUUGGGAGCAGGGACCCAAAGAUCGGCUGGCGAGUGCAUCUGCGGUGCUUCAGAGAUCCAUCUCCCUCGACUGUAGUUGGUGGCACUGCUGGAUUGUAUCACGUUAUACUGAGAGGAGUUUCUCAGUUUUGGGUGUUCGGAGA